AUGCAAGCGUUGAUGGGACGAGUAACAGUUGUCUCUCACGUUCAGAGAGUGGGCGGUCGGUGGAAAGCCCAUACGUUGAAGAACUGUGAAAAAGACCCGGAUGCUGCGAGAAGAAAUCACGUGAUGACGUGAGAAUAGACCUCGCCGGAGCCCCCGUAAUCGGGCAGUGAGCUAACCGUCAGGUUUGCCCCAGGAGGUUGUCACCGCGAUGUGACAACAAAAGAAGGUGGUACCACGGGAGCCUUUACGAGAAAGUAAGCGCUCUUCGUCCUUUAG
rnacentral:ncRNA from 1 species